AUGAUUGUUAGAAGAAAAUUGGUUCUCGAAAUAGUUGACAGUGUGAGAAGCAAUCUCCACCGGGUCAGUAAGAGUUCUAUCUCCAUCUUUGAGCAUGGAGAGAGGCCUGUACUUUUGUUUAAUAUUUGUGAUGCGGUGAAAGUAAUCCGUGUUGAGGUCACCAUCAGAGCUCCAUUUAACUUAGGCCUUACUCCACCAGAAAUACUCCUCCAUGGCAAGGGCGUAGGAAAGAAUGGAUUGAGCUGCAUUUUCUUGACGCCUAAGAAUGUCAUUAGUAUCGUUGUUCUGAAUAUCCUACUGAAUAAUAACCAAGUCCGCCUUCGCUUUUAG